GAUCAGUGGUGAGCAUAAUAGUCUGAGGAUUCUGAAGAAUUAUUUCCCGAUAGCAAUCAGAGAUAC